GACGAACGCUGGCGGCGUGCCUAAUACAUGCAAGUCGAACGCAGUGGGGACGGGUGAGUAACACGUGGGUAACCUCCCAUCAGAGGGGAUAACACUUGGAAACAGGUGCUAAACCGAUACUGAUGGAUGGACCCGCGGUGCAGUAGCUAGUUGGUGAGGUAACGGCUCACCAAGGCCACGAUGCAUAGCCGACCGGAGAGGGUGAUCUGCCAGACUGGUAAUGAGACACGGCCCAGACUCCUACGGGAGGCAGCAGUGUGGAAUAUUGCACAAUGGGCGCAAGACUGAUGCAGCCAGGCGGCUUGUAUGAAGAAGGCCUUAGGGUUGUAAAGUACUUUCAGCGGGGAGGCGUUACCCGAAGAAGAAGCACGGGAGAACUCCGUGCCAGCCGGCGCGGUAAUAC
rnacentral:rRNA from 1 species